rnacentral:lncRNA from 1 species
UUGAAAAGGGUGAAGCACUAUUAUUGUGAGUGCCAAUACUUCCCAGUGAGGGGAUGGAAGCCCCCUUAGAGUUUUCACACAACACACAGAUUAGGAAGGAUUUGAAGACCAAGAGGACAGCAAGCAGAGCAGUGCUUCAUAAGAGCAUGACAUCCUUAGGAGAAUGGCUGAGAAGGGAAGAGUUCCUUAGUGUAUCACUUGAAGAAGCUCAGGGGGUCUACAGGUCAGACAUCCUGAGAACUCGUGUCUGUUGUGAGAAGUACAGAGAGAAGUAAGAGGAAGUCUCGUGCGCUCACUGCCUGCCUUCUUCUCAUCUAACUGGAGACACUGCCAGCAAUCACUCUGGCUUUUCCUUGGCGAGUUCCUCCGGAAUGAUAAAUACCUUCAAAAAGUUGCCAACGUGACUGCAAAGCUGGUUAUUGGCUGGCGGGAAGGAAAAGAUAUAUCAGAUGCUGGGGUGAAACACCAAGUGUGCUUAUUGAAGCAUUGUUCUUAAUCAUGGAAAGCAGGCAUGGCAGACCACAGUUUUGGACCAUCAGCACAGCAAACAUGUUGAAGGCAGACUUGAAGGCUGUAUCCCUGCCCCUCUGCCUGGCUACGGCUGUGUGUUCACUAAGAAUCCACCUGACGGCAGCUGAAUGCGAGCUAUAUUCUUCCCCAUGAAACAGAUCUAUGAAGGGAACUUGCAAAAUGCAUUUGAUCUUGGAUUUUUCAAAGAAAAGACAAUUGAAAAUAUAGCAGCAAGUGUGUCGCACGAAACUGUUCAGCUCUAU